AUCUAUAUGACGAGUACCAAAUAGAACGAAACGCGCAUCUUGGAU
rnacentral:hammerhead_ribozyme from 1 species